AUCCUAGUUGACGAGUCCCAAGUAGGACGAAACAUGUGUCUUGGAU
rnacentral:hammerhead_ribozyme from 1 species